GGGAGGGUAAGCAAUGAGUAUGUUUGUUUGGGUUGUUGGAAAUUAAAUGUGAUAUUUAUCUUUUGCAGUGUAUAGUGGAGAGAAUUGUGGAGUUGAAUUAAUUGUGUCACUACGAUUUUUUUAUUGAAGAUGAAUACGCCGGAAAGGUGUAAAAUUUAUUGACUGAUGCAAAGAAGUUAAUUGUCGUGAAGAAUCAUGUAACAGAAGAGGAGAUAACCUUCUUUCUCGGAGUGUAGAACAAGUGACUGCUGCUUCAUCGACUGCUGAAAGACAUAAAGAAGAUGCUCCUGAUGGAACAGUCUGGAUAGAAGCAGUGCCUAAUUCACAAGGGUUACAUCAUGUCAUCAGUGAGAAGAAUAUUGCAGAGGGAAUUAUUUCAGCCAAGUGAUGAACAGCUUGUGGCUGUAGUUCAUGUCAGUAAACCAAUGAAGAAGAAGAAAAUACACCUUUUAUGCAUUACAGUCUCAAAAGAAAAGCCGUUUUCUGUGGCCAUUCACCAGGUUAAAAAGACAGAUAAAAAUGCUUACAAGAAGAAAAGAACCUGGCUUCUUACAGAAAUGAAGUUGUUUGAUGGGAAAAAUGUAUCUGUUGAUACACAUGAAAUGGACAUCCACUUCGACAAAGUGUACAAGUGGGUCGCAGUGAAUGUACAGGAGAGACAAGAAUUCAUAAUGUCAUUAUAUGAAAAUUAUACAAAAUACUUCCCAAAGCAACCACUGCCCUUUCAGAACAUUCCAAGAGACUACAGUCGAGCUCAAAGCAUUCAAGUUCCAAGUGAAGUUAUAGUUACAUCAGGGGGCUAUGCAGAACCAGUGGAAGCAGAGGACUAUUUAGCACUUACAGAUCGUGAGGAAACUGAUUUGGAAGUAUUGAUAUCCCAGUGCCAAUUUGGAAUCAGUAAUGCUGAAGCAUUUACAGAUAUGUUAGCAAAAGACCUCUCUGUUCUGGAUGGUGAGAAUGUGCACAGUGUAUUAGCAUCAGAAAAACAAGUUGAACAACUUAUGGAACAAAUUGAGGCUGCAAUAACAGAAGCAGAACAUGUUGAAGCUAGAUUAAAUUCGUAUGAUGAGGUCCUUUGCCAUAUAAGAGACACAAUGGAAAAAAUGGAGGAAAAGAAUUUAUUAAUAGAAGUUGCAAACCGUAAUAAUCGCAAACUACUGUCAGAGCUGGAACAAGUGAUUACUCAACUUGAUCUGCCUCAUAAGCACCAGUCAUCUUUGGUGGAUGCUGACUUAACAAGUCCUCAGGGCCUGCAGAAUGCAAUAGCAGCAGGCAAGGCUCUGCUGGCAGCAAUGAAUGCAGAAAUUCAUCCGGCCCUUGUCCGCCUCGCUUCUGUUCAAGAACAGAGGAAGAGGUUUGAAAAAUGGAAAGCAAAAUUCUCACAGACAUUGUCAAGACAUUUCAACAAUCUUUUUAUACACCUGGGCAAUGAUAUUGGUCAAACACUGAGUUUUCAUGCAAAUGAAUUGUUAUUGCCAAAACACAAUUCAGUUCAUCGAGAGCUUGAAGUAUAUACAGAAUUAAUGCACUGGUGCAAAGCCAUGGACCGUAAAGCUUAUUUAGCUUUAAGCAAAGUUUAUACAAAUUCCCUUAGCAAAUUGUAUGAAAGAGAUAUUAAACAAUUUUUUGAAGAGGCAAAACAACAGAUAUCUGGAAUGAGGGAACGAAAAGGUAAGGGCAGUGGAUCGAAUCAAGACAUCACAGGGAAGUUGAAACAGCAAGCUCAAAGUUUUGGGCCAGGGAAAACAUCAGCCCCAGUUGGACUCCUUGGAAUGGAACGUGACCAGUGGUGUAUAGAGAUAGAUCAGGCUGAACGCCAGCGGUUUGAUGAAGUACUUGAGAAAGUUUUGGCACAGUUGGAACCUGUUUGUCUUGAAGAGCAAAAUUUUUGCGUCAGCUUCUUUCAGUUGGAUGUGUUGAGCCCAUCUACUAAGAACACCCAGACAACUUUGGAUGGUCUUGGACUGGACACUAAAAAUGACAUGGAUAGUUCUCCUCAGGUCCCUGGCGCUUUGCCCCUGAAAAAGAUGGAAAAACAGAUAAAUGAAGAAGUUCGACGUAUGAUGGGAGACCUGUUUAACUGUCUUGAACCAGAACUUAUGAACUUCAUCUCAUAUUAUGAAAAAAUUGACAGCUUCUACUGUAUGUAUGUAUUGGUACGUCUAAGUCAGCAUGUGAUGUCCGCCCAAGACACCGGAUCGUUUCUUAGUAUGACUUUUGCAUCAGCUUUGGUUCAAGUGAAAAGAAGCUUUGAUCGUUUUAUGAUGGCACAGUUGAAAUCUAUAGAGGAAGCACGUGUAAACCGUAAAAGCAAAUGUGGGAUUUUGCCAUAUGUAGAUAACUUUGAGGAGUUUGCUCAGACUGCAGAAACUAUUUUCAAGAGUACAGACAGACGUAAUGACUUAGACAAAUGGUAUCUGAAAAUAGUAUCGGCCAUGUUUGAAGCUAUUCCACGUAAUGCUGCAGAGCAUCACAAAACGCCACAAGAGGUUGUUAAAAUGGAAAAUUUUCAUCACCUGCAUGCUCUGCUGUCCCAGUUAAAAAUUGCUGUUUUAGAUGGGUUACGAAAAGAAGCAAAACAGAAGUAUAGUGAAGCUCUGAAAGCAUAUGUUACACAGUAUUUUGGAAGACCUUUGAUAAAAUUAAAUUUAUUUUUUGAUGGAGUUCAAGCUAAAGUUGCUCAAGGUGUUAAAGAAUCGGAGAUAAGUUAUCAGAUGGCUUACAGCAAACAAGAAUUGCGGAAAGUGAUAAAAGAAUACCCAGCACGAGAAGUGAAAAGGGGAAUAGAUAAUCUGUAUCGCAAAGUGGAGAAACAUCUCUGUGAGCAAGAAAAUCUUUUGCAGGUUGUCUGGAGAGCCAUGCAAGAAGAAUUCAUACAGCAGUAUAAGUAUAUAGAAGAACUUAUUCAGCGGUGUUACCCUGGCUCCAUGAUUACACUUGAUUUCACGAUACAGAAUAUUCUUGAAUUUUUUUCAGAAAUAGCUAGGUCACAUUAGCAAAUGUUCCUUCCGAAAAUGAAAAUGUGGAAGCUGUUUGUUUGAAAAAAAAAUCACAAAUAGAUAGCUGUACUGUAAGAUCUUGGAAUGGCCGAGAUAACACAGGGUUUCUUGAAAUCAAGAGUCUACACAAACAAACCCCACACAUUGGGUGGACUUCAGGUGGCCAUAACUCAAGAAAUAGCCAACCUGUCUCCUGCAAUGUUAGGAAAGGUUUUUGACAGUUUUGGUGCGAGACUUAAAGAGUGCUUCAUCACAUAAGGGCACCAUUUCAAGGACAUCAUCAUCAAAUCUUAAACUGAUGAAACCGGUUGUUCCAGUGUUAUUUUCUUUAAUUUCCAUUAACCCCAUUCUGUA
rnacentral:misc_RNA from 1 species